ACAAACUCAAGUAUUAGGAAUAAUAAAGCUACAACGCUACAAAUCAUUAUCCUUUGAUGGCUAAACGGAAAAGGGAACGAAUAAACCAUGAACAUUUGAGCAUCAGGAACCUAGGCUACAAGCUUGGAGGGUGGAACUUACGCUAAAUGUCACAGGCAAUGCACAGUACUAAGCCAUCUAAUUAGUUAGAAUUAAUCAAUACACAGAACAUACAGCACCACUGAAGAGCCUUGAAGCAGCAACGAACUAGACGAACAAAGAUCAGGGUGGGCAACCUGCAACCAUCCUACGAUCCCACCAGCAAGGCAACCUGCACGAAGAAGGUAAGUCAAGGUGUGUGGCAGUUGGAAGAUAAGUGUUCUGUGUUCAAUAUGCAAAUGAAAAUGAUGAACACAGGUCCACUGUGACCAGACCAGAAAUUAUUAUUAUUAUUAUUACUCCUCCCUCCGUCCCACAAUAUAAGAUAGCUUGCAAAAACGUCUUAUAUUAUGGGAUGGAGGGAGUAUUAUUUCAGUAUUGCCAUUUAUAACUCGUGAAACAAUCUAGUGCUACUGACGCAUAAGAGACCAUCCACGCGUGUGUCUACAAGUUAACUAACAUUCCUCAAUAAUGCAUCUUCGAAAUUCAUUUUCCGUUCUUUCUUAGAGACGAUAACUUUCUGGAAUAAAAUAGUGCAGCGAUUGCUGUGUGUCUCUUGGAAACGAAAGCAUACAUGUAUUAUUCUGCUUAGUCAAGUAGAAUGUCAUGAUUUUGACUGCUCAAACGGUGCACGAACAAAUAAUUGCCCAUGGAGAGUGACAACAGCUGAGGUUUGGUGAGGAUCGAUGCGGGAGGGCAAACUAAUGACCUGCAGAUUGUACCAUUUUGAGUAUCAACAAAUCUGGUGCAAAAAUAAAAAUCUUCAGAAUACAAUGUAGAUUUUUGACAAACCUUCUUGAAUGGAGUAACACCCCAAGGAUUAUCAAGUUGCUCAGGCUCUCCAGUAACUAUCAAGCGGCCAGCGGGAUCUGACUGAACAUGUACCUACAACAAAAGAUGUAUCAAGAUAAAUCUGUAAGCAAUCUCACCAUUCCAACUUUUGCAGCACUGAAAGAUUUAUUUUAUUUACCUCUUCACGAAGAAGGCCAGGAACCAAUGCAUAGACUUCAUAGCAAUCUUUCUGCAAGGAAACAUAAAUUUUCUUUUAUAUAAAAAAGAUCCUACUGAUUUUUUGGUUAGCCAUGCUUGGUUCUAAACACAUAAUAGGUCAACAGUCACAUGAUCUAACCAAGAUUUACAUAUUUUAAAUAGAAUAAGCAGUUUGCUGGCACAGCUUUAAAAGUUUCAGAAAUGUACUGAGAACUAUUGGAGUAGAGACCCAUGGGGAAACAGUACAAAUGUACUAAAAGAACAUAAAGAAUAACUUUGUACUUAUAAAAUGAGAUACUCACAGUUCUCCUAACAUUUAUCUUCACCCAAUCAGCAGGAGGGCC
rnacentral:lncRNA from 1 species